GACGAACGCUGGCGGCGUGCUUAACACAUGCAAGUCGAACGGAAAGGCCCCUUUGGGGGUACUCGAGUGGCGAACGGGUGAGUAACACGUGCGUAACCUGCCCUUGACUUCGGGAUAACUUCAGGAAACUGGGGCUAAUACCGGAUAGGAAUCCUUGCUGCAUGGUGGGGGUUGGAAAGCUUCGGCGGUUUUGGAUGGACUCGCGGCUUAUCAGCUUGUUGGUGGGGUAGUGGCUUACCAAGGCUUUGACGGGUAGCCGGCCUGAGAGGGCGACCGGCCACAUUGGGACUGAGAGACGGCCCAGACUCCUACGGGAGGCAGCAGUGGGGAAUAUUGCACAAGGGGCGGAAGCCCGAUGCAGCAACGCCGCGGGCGGGAUGACGGCCUUCGGGUUGUAAACCGCUUUCAGCAGGGGCGAAGCUUGUGGUGACGGUACCUGCAGAAGAAGCACCGGCUAACUACGUG
rnacentral:rRNA from 1 species